rnacentral:rRNA from 1 species
CAGCAGCCACGGUAAUACGUAGGGUGCAAGCGUUAAUCGGAAUUACUGGGCGUAAAGCGUGCGCAGGCGGUUUGUUAAGACAGAUGUGAAAUCCCCGGGCUCAACCUGGGAACUGCAUUUGUGACUGGCAGGCUAGAGUAUGGCAGAGGGGGGUGGAAUUCCGCGUGUAGCAGUGAAAUGCGUAGAUAUGCGGAGGAACACCGAUGGCGAAGGCAGCCCCCUGGGCCAAUACUGACGCUCAUGCACGAAAGCGUGGGGAGCAAACAGGAUUAGAUAACCGCGUAGUCCCUGUCUCUUAUAC